UACGUAGGGGGCGAGCGUUGUCCGGAUUUAUUGGGCGUAAAGAGCUCGUAGGCGGCUUGGCAAAUCGGGUGUGAAACCUCCAGGCUUAACCUGGAGACGCCACUCGAUACUGCCAUGGCUAGAGUCCGGUAGGGGACCACGGAAUUCCUGGUGUAGCGGUGAAAUGCGCAGAUAUCAGGAGGAACACCGGUGGCGAAGGCGGUGGUCUGGGCCGGCACUGACGCUGAGGAGCGAAAGCGUGGGUAGCAAACAGG
rnacentral:rRNA from 1 species